rnacentral:lncRNA from 1 species
CCAAAGCCAACUUUGUAUUAAUUCAAAUCAACUUUGUAUUAAUGUAAAAAGAUGGGAUUUUAAAAAAAGAUCCAAUACUUGGUUAUGGGGGAAAGUGAUGAUUUCUGGGACAGUCUGGGCUAGAAGAGAAGAGAUGAGUGACUGAAGGCUGAGUCUGAGAUUGUUAUACCAGAAAGUGUGAGUCGGAGACUUGAGAAGCAUCCAGGAUUCUUCUUCCAGUUCUCACCUAACACCUGUGAAAUCAAGAGUCACUCCAGGGGACACAUGUCUCACAACAUUCAGACAGCUGCCUCUGAUUGUAUAAACUCCUGACUGGAAGCCUGGGAGUGUGAACACAAUUAACAUCUCUCCUUGGUACCUCCCUUGGGUAAGACCAGUGAUUGGGCAAGCUAGAGAAAUGCUGUGCAAAGAUUAUCUAAAGGCAGGCAUCCAUAGAGCCUCUUGGCUGCCACAUUGCUUUGUUGUGUAAUAGUGAAUGUGUGUUCUUAUCUAUGCUCUUACCAAUUCUACUUCUGAUUUUCAAGGUUUUUUGGCUCUUUUUUUGUUUUUGUUUUUGUUUUUGUUUUUUGACUUACAAAACCAAACCAAACCAAAAACUCCUGGCAUUUCUCUACUUGAAGAAUUUAUGAAUUUGUUUUCCACGCUGCUUGUUGGAUAUCUAACAAGAAACGUUGGUUUGUCCCCAGAAUGUCAGAAUUUGAGCCCACUGCUUACUCAGCAGAAAUUAAGCUCAUUUUUUGACUAUGGGCUUAAUAUAAUUUUUAAAAUUAAGCUAUUUUCUUUUCUCUGUGUACCUGCAGCUUAGAUUCCUUAGAAUAUUAUGGCCAUCUUUAGGUAAGCCGUUUCCCACUUUUUCCUCCACAUCUAAAUAUUUAAAAGUCACUAUGAAAUAUCUUUGUCCUAAGUUUUGCUCACAUAAAUCACAUAAUUUGGCCACUACUUCUGCAAAGUUUUCAAGGACAUGGCAAACUCUUAGCUGUAUGGCUUGGCCUAAAAUAUAGCACUCGCUCUAUCUCUGUCUCUCUCCUUUUUUCUUCCUCCCCCUCCUCUACCUCCUUCUCCUUUUUUGAGGCAGGGUUUCUCUAUGUAGCCCUGGCUGUCCUGGAACUCACCAUAUAGAUCAGGCUGGCCUCAAACUCACAAAGAUUCACUUGCCUCUGCCUUCUGAGUACUGGAACCUUAACCCCAGGCUGUGUAGGCAAGUCUUUUAAUGGAUAGAACAAAGUGGCAAGAACGUCCAUUUUAAGGGUAGUGGUGUACCUAAUUUUCCUAAAUAUUUAUGUUUUUUGACAACAUUUCUCAAAUAUUUACUUGAAUUUUAUUUAUUUCAAAAAAUCCAGAAUGUGGCUCAAGGACCACUUUCAGAAUUCCAUUUGGUGCGUAUGACUGCCAUGUAUCUAAACUCAAAAACUGCAGGCAUUGUAUUGGACUGUUCUGAUAUAUUAACUUUUAACAAGCUUUGUGAAUUUGCACAUUAAAGUUUGAGAACUAUAAAAGCUGCAAAAUUAUGCAACCAGGACUAGGGUGAAAUGUCUAAAUGCGUAGUCACAGAUAACUGUGUCUAGAGAAAUGCUAUGCAAAAGAAAGCUUAUCUAAAGGCAGGCAUUGAUAGAGCCUCUUGGCAGCCACCACAUUGCUUUGUUGGGUAAUAGCUAAUGUGUGUUCUUAUCUAUGCUCUUACCAAUUCUACUUCUGAUUUUCAAGGUUUUUUUUGUGUGUGUGUGUGUGUGUUUUUGACUUUCAAAACCAAACCAAACCAAAAACUCCUGGCAUUUCUCUACUUGAAGAAUUUAUGAAUUUGUUUUCCACGCUGCUUGUUGGACAUCUAACAAGAAAGGUUGGUUUGUCCCCAAAAUGUCAGAAUUUGAGCCCACUGCUUACUCAGCAGAAAUUAAGCUCAUUUUUUGACUAUGGGCUUAAUAUAAUUUUUAAAAUUAAGCUAUUUUCUUUUCUCUGUGUACCUGCAGCUUAGAUUCCUUAGAAUAUUAUGGCCAUCUUUAGGUAAGCCGUUUCCCACUUUUUCCUCCACAUCUAAAUAUUUAAAAGUCACUAUGAAAUAUCUUUGUCCUAAGUUUUGCUCACAUAAAUCACAUAAUUUGGCCACUACUUCUGCAAAGUUUUCAAGGACAUGGCAAACUCUUAGCUGUAUGGCUUGGCCUAAAAUAUAGCACUCGCUCUAUCUCUGUCUCUCUCCUUUUUUCUUCCUCCCCCUCCUCUACCUCCUUCUCCUUUUUUGAGGCAGGGUUUCUCUAUGUAGCCCUGGCUGUCCUGGAACUCACCAUAUAGAUCAGGCUGGCCUCAAACUCACAAAGAUUCACUUGCCUCUGCCUUCUGAGUACUGGAACCUUAACCCCAGGCUGUGUAGGCAAGUCUUUUAAUGGAUAGAACAAAGUGGCAAGAACGUCCAUUUUAAGGGUAGUGGUGUACCUAAUUUUCCUAAAUAUUUAUGUUUUUUGACAACAUUUCUCAAAUAUUUACUUGAAUUUUAUUUAUUUCAAAAAAUCCAGAAUGUGGCUCAAGGACCACUUUCAGAAUUCCAUUUGGUGCUUAUGACUGCCAUGUAUCUAAACUCAAAAACUGCAGGCAUUGUAUUGGACUGUUCUGAUAUAUUAACUUUUAACAAGCUUUGUGAAUUUGCACAUUAAAGUUUGAGAACUAUAAAAGCUGCAAAAUUAUGCAACCAGGACUAGGGUUCAAUAUCUAAAUGAGUAGUCACAGAUAACUGUGUCUAUUUCCUUGUGACAGACUCUUUAAGUUAUUGAUGUAACAUUUCUUUUUUAAAAACACUAUCUUAAAAUUGUGUGUGUGGUCUAUGUGUGGUCUAUGUGUGAUGUGCAUGAUGUGUGUCUAUGUGUAUAUGUGUGUGUGGUGUUAUGUGUGGUAUAUGUAUGGUGUGGUGUGUGGAAUGUGCACAUGUGUGCAGUUGCCUUCAUUGAGCAGAAGAAGGUACUGAAAGCCGGGGAGCUGGAGUUACAGGCAGUUGUUACUCUCCUGCUGGGAAUGCUGGGAAUCCAACUCUAGUCUUCUUUCUGCAAGACAAAUGGGUACUCUUAACUGCUGAGCCAUCUUUCUGUAUGCUACAGCCCUCUGUAACAUAAUUCCAAAUAUCGAUUCAUCCAACUUUUACAGAUACAGUAUAGUAUUUAAAAUCAACUCAGAAUGUUCUUUACUUUCCAUAAAAGUCCAUAUAUUAAACAAGCAUGAGUCACAUUUUAAUUGGAAUUAAUGUAUUGCACACUUUCUGGAGAAGGGGGUCACAAGAUGCUCUUUAUUGAGGUUAGGAGACACAUUUGCAUAGACCCUAAGGCAGUGGUUUUCAGCUGUCCUAUGCUGUGACCUUUGAAUACAGUUCAUGUUGUGGUGACUCCAACCAUAACAUUAUUUUUGUUGCUACUUCAACAACUGUAAUUUUGCUGCUGUUAUGAAUUGUAAAUAUUUUUUGGAGAUACAGGUUGAGGACCAUGUACUAAGGGGCUCUCCUACCUGAGUUUCAUUAAAUAGUGACCUUUUCUAAGCUUGUGGGUAUUAAGAGGACAGUUUCCAAUUGUAGUCCAGUCCUGAUGGUCCCUUGGAAAAUAUUUGCUUCUCCAAGCCACGGAAAGUGGAGAAGGCUUCUUUGGGGAAUUGGGACUCAGAUGUAAAGACUGUUAGUGUAGAGUCCAAUAUGAAUGUAAAACAUGGCUUUGGAUGAGCUUCUUCCUCAGUCUUUCAUCAUAUGGUAGAGUUAAGCUUACUUUGCAUUUUGAAAAAAGUAAUGUGUGCAUUGUCUGUGGAGUUUCCAUAUGCCAAAUAUUUGGUGAGUGUUGCCCUCUCCUGUUUUCUCUAAGGACUAUCACAUCUUCCUUUAUUAUGAAUAAUAGGAGUCUUAAAGAGUUUAAUCAGAUUUGGGCGGGGCGGUGGGGGAGGGGAUGAGAAUUUAAAUCCAGAUCUGCCUGACUUGGGAGCUGAGCACUUGCUCUGUGCUUUUAAAGGAAUUGAAAGUAGCCAUGUUAUUGGAUAGCUUAGUUUGUUUUCACAGACUUCAAGGUUCCUUAUAAGGCUUCAGGUAAGUAUCAAAGAUCUGAGGCGUGUAUCAUUAAGACUAUGUUGUAUACUGCAAACUAGAUAUGGAGAGUAAGAGCUCGAAUUUUGACAGGUUCAUUUGAAGGGUUGAGAAGAAUAAUCUAAUUACAGGAUGUCCCAAGGAAGUUAUGAGUCUCUCUCAGGCACCCACCCAGUCACAUUAAGAGCAUGGUGCGGACAUGAGCUUGUUGUCCUCCUCUCCCCUAUAUAGUGAUGAUUUCUUAACUAGGAAGUGUGCUGUGGAGAAACUGGAAAUGAGCGCCUCUCGAAAGAGCUCUUGGGUGGAGUCAGUAGUGUAGUAGGGAGGCACCUUCAAGCCCUAGACGAGGGCUUGUUUUCUCACGGAAAAGCUAAUUAGCUCACUUGGGCAUUGAGCACACAGCAGAAGGCUUUUCAGCAUUAGUAAACAACUGGGCCCAUAUACCCUCCGUAGAGUACAUGGGCCGUUACAUACGAAUACCAACUCUUAGCCUGUCCCAGUGUAUUCCAUACGUGAUUCAGAACCCACCGUAUACUAAAAUUUUGUCUUCUACUUUUCUGAAGCAUUUAGAAGCAGAAACAAGAAGUCACUGGGAAUUAUUGGUCUACCCUUCCAAAAACUACCUUCUGACAUAUUCUUUUACAGAUGUUCCCACAGCCUUCCCAGGGGUGCGAGAGAGAAUUAGAAGGCAAACAGCCUGGGUAGUCUUAAACCUGGAAUUUGUCAUAGAAGGGGAGGGGAGGAUGGCUCAAAGAUACACGCCUCAGGUCUUUGAUACUUACCUGAAGCCUUAGGAGCAACCUUGAAAUCUGUGAAAACAAACUUAACUAUCCAAAACCGUGGCUACACUCAAUUCCUUUAAAAGCAAGGAGUGCUCAGCUCCCAAAUCAGGCAGAUCUGGGUUUAAGUUCUUGUCCCUCCCAACCUCCUCCUGCUGCAAAAUCUGAUUAAACUCUUUUAAGACUGCUAUUACUCAUAAUAAAGGAAGAUGUGGUCAAGUGGUGGUCAUAGUUGAAAAUACAAUGAUGCAUUUAAAGUGCUAUCACAAUAUUUAAUCUGUACAUUCUCCACAGAUGUUUACUAUUAUUAAACUAUACUCCAAGGGCCUUUGGAGAAAGGGAGGGGUGAGGAGAGCAAAGGAGGUGAAGACAGGAAGCAAGUCCAUCAUUACACUAGGUGUCAGCGUUGUGUGCUUCAUUUAAGUGCUCAAUGCCUGUUCUAAUUUUACUUAUUCCCCCGGAAUAGAAAAGUACUUAAGCAAAUCUGGGAGAAUCAGAAACCUAAAACUGCAAAAGGGGGACACAGCAAUAGACUGGCUUAGGCCACUAAGCACCAGUUAUUUUCAAACUAGCUGUCUCUUGAAAAUGAGCCACCUACCCCAAUCAGUGUCUGCUAUCUUUAGAAUCUCGACAUCUCAGAAAUUGUCUGAUCUUGGCUUUGGGUCGGGUGCCAGCCUUUUUUUCAGACUUUAGGUCCCGAGUCAGCAUCGUUUGUCAGGAAGAACUGUUUGAACGCCAGCAUCUCGACUACCUACCAAGUAGGUGGGAGUGUUUAUCUUCUCAGAUUGUUAGUUUAAAAAAGAUACACAUUUGAGAGAAAAAAAAAACUUACUAAAAAAACUCAAACAUUAAGAAAAAAAAGUAGGGGCUAAGGAGGUGGCUCAGCCGUUAAAAAGUGCUUGCUGCUCAAGGAAGAUGAUGAGUUUAAGUGUGCAGCACAUAAAUGCCAGGCGAGCAUGGCAUCUCACCUCCGAUUUCAGGCUUGGGAGGCAGAGACUGGAGACCCCUUUUUCUUUCACCCCUAGCUAAUUAGCUAUCCAGAUUAGCUGUGUCUGUGGCUCUGGGUUUGGCUGAGAGACUCUGCCUCAAAGAACAAGGUGGAAGAGCAGUUGAGGAAGGCUCUUGAUAUCAACCUUGAGUCUCUUCACGCAUGCACAUAUGCUCCCACACGGGUCCACACAGGAGGCACAUACCUAUGGAGGCCAGAGGCCAAUGCAAGGUGCCUUCAUCAGUUGCUUUUCCCUUUAGUUUUUGGACCAGGAUUUCUGACUGAGCCAGAGCUCACCAAUUAGCUAGGCUUGCUGGCUAGAGCAUCCCAGAGAUCCUCCUGCCUCUGCCUCUCCAGUGCUCAGAGUAAGGUACCCACCUCAAAGGCCCUGGAGAGCCAAGCUCAGACCCUUCUGCUUUGGAAGCAAGCAUGCAACUGGAAGAGCCCUCCUCUUGGCCUCAAUAUACUAAUGUUGCAUGCUGGUUUUAUACUUAUGCUGGGACCAUGUUGACUUUGUAAUGUUUUGCUGUGGAGAGACUAGUAUUAGAUACAGAUACUAACAAUGAAGGGCUAAGUCGGGGAGGGGAACAUUUCUCUAUGUGAAUUGGAUGUGGAAGUGGUCUGCCACUAGUUUCCAUACUGAGUGUUAUUGUCAUUAAAGUGGAUAUGAUUUUACAGUCCUGCUGCUGCCUGCUUGUUGAUGGUCUGCUAAUAGCUAAGGGAGCGGAAACCCAGUGGAGGGGCAACCUUUGAAUUCUGUUCUGUGUGGUUGGUGGUGCCAAGCCUCAUCUUUUAAAAAUAAAAUGUCUUUUGAAUAAAACAAAGUGAAUGAGUUGAAUUUAUUUAAACACCAUUUAUGGCCCCAUUCCACAAGACGUUUAAUCUUCAGUUUAGUAAAUAAAGUCUAAUGCAUUUCACAAUGAUUAUACUGAUCUGGAGAGUGAAAAAAGCCUAACACAGACUGCCC